CAGUCGCCACGGGAAUACGUAGGUGGCAAGCGUUGUCCGGAAUUAUUGGGCGUAAAGGGCUCGCAGGCGGUUUCUUAAGUCUGAUGUGAAAGCCCCCGGCUCAACCGGGGAGGGUCAUUGGAAACUGGGAAACUUGAGUGCAGAAGAGGAGAGUGGAAUUCCACGUGUAGCGGUGAAAUGCGUAGAGAUGUGGAGGAACACCAGUGGCGAAGGCGACUCUCUGGUCUGUAACUGACGCUGAGGGGCGAAAGCGUGGGGAGCGAACAGGAUUAGAUACCCGUGUAGUCCCUGUCUCUUAUAC
rnacentral:rRNA from 1 species